AUUGAACGCUGGCGGCAUGCCUUACACAUGCAAGUCGAACGGUAACAGGUUAAGCUGCCGAGUGGCGAACGGGUGAGUAAUGUAUCGGAACGUGCCCAGUCGUGGGGGAUAACUGCUCGAAAGAGCAGCUAAUACUGCAUACGACCUGAGGGUGAAAGCGGGGGAUCGCAAGACCUCGCGCGAUUGGAGCGGCCGAUAUCAGAUUAGGUAGUUGGUGAGGUAAAGGCUCACCAAGCCGACGAUCUGUAGCUGGUCUGAGAGGACGACCAGCCACACUGGGACUGAGACACGGCCCAGACUCCUACGGGAGGCAGCAGUGGGGAAUUUUGGACAAUGGGCGCAAGCCUGAUCCAGCCAUGCCGCGUGCGGGAAGAAGGCCUUCGGGUUGUAAACCGCUUUUGUCAGGGAAGAAAAGGUUCUGGCUAAUACCUGGGACUCAUGACGGUACCUGAAGAAUAAGCACCGGCUAACUACGUG
rnacentral:rRNA from 1 species